CUUUGUCAAUGUCUAGCUUCCUCAGUCUCCAACCAUGGGGAUCCCAGUGAUUAAUGCCAAAGCCCCAUUGCCUGGGGAGAGGGUGAUGUUUGACUUCCUUGUACAGCUGCAGUUUGUGUGGUGAAGGUGCUCCCACAAUGUGGUUGGGUGGACAUUCAGAUGGUAACCUUAGUCAUUGUAACACCAAACUCUGACA